UACGUAGGGGGCAAGCGUUGUCCGGAAUCAUUGGGCGUAAAGCGCGUGUAGGCGGACUGAAAGGUCUGGUGUGAAAGCCCGGGGCUCAACCCCGGAGGGUCACUGGAAACCAGCAGUCUUGAAUCUGGAAGAGGAGAGUGGAAUUCCUGGUGUAGCGGUGAAAUGCGCAGAUAUCAGGAGGAACAUCAAUGGCGAAGGCAGCUCUCUGGUACAUGAUUGACGCUGAGACGCGAAAGCGUGGGGAGCGAACAGG
rnacentral:rRNA from 1 species